GGACGAACGGCUGGCGGCGUGCCUAACACAUGCAAGUCGAGCGAGGAGAUCCUUCGGGAUGAUCCUAGCGGCGGACGGGUGAGUAACACGUGGGCAACCUGCCUCAUAGAGAGGAAUAGCCUUCCGAAAGGGAGAUUAAUACCUCAUAACAUUGCAGUUUCGCAUGGAACAGCAAUUAAAGGAGUAAUCCGCUAUGAGAUGGGCCCGCGGCGCAUUAGCUAGUUGGUGAGGUAAUGGCUCACCAAGGCGACGAUGCGUAGCCGACCUGAGAGGGUGAUCGGCCACAUUGGGACUGAGACACGGCCCAGACUCCUACGGGAGGCAGCAGUGGGGAAUAUUGCACAAUGGGGGAAACCCUGAUGCAAGCAACGCCGCGUGAGUGAUGACGGCCUUCGGGUUGUAAAGCUCUGUCUUCAGGGACGAUAAUGACGGUACCUGAGGAGGAAGCCACGGCUAACUACGUGCCAGCCGCUGC
rnacentral:rRNA from 1 species